UACAGAGGUCCCAAGCGUUGUUCGGAUUCACUGGGCGUAAAGGGUGCGUAGGUGGCGGUGUAAGUCUGAUGUGAAAGCUUCGAGCUUAACUCGAAAAUGGCAUUGGAUACUAUAUUGCUGGAGGUUUGGAGGGGGGACUGGAAUUCUCGGUGUAGCAGUGAAAUGCGUAGAUAUCUGGAGGAACACCGGUGGCGAAGGCGGCAUCCUGGACCGGUAUUGACGCUGAGGCGCGAAAGCCAGGGGAGCAAACGGG
rnacentral:rRNA from 1 species